GGUAAGGCCCUUCGGGGUACACGAGUGGCGAACGGGUGAGUAACACGUGGGUGAUCUGCCCUGCACUUUGGGAUAAGCCUGGGAAACUGGGUCUAAUACCGAAUAGGACUCCGGACUGCAUGGUCUGGGGUGGAAAGCUUUUGCGGUGUGGGAUGGGCCCGCGGCCUAUCAGCUUGUUGGUGGGGUGAUGGCCUACCAAGGCGACGACGGGUAGCCGGCCUGAGAGGGUGUCCGGCCACACUGGGACUGAGAUACGGCCCAGACUCCUACGGGAGGCAGCAGUGGGGAAUAUUGCACAAUGGGCGCAAGCCUGAUGCAGCGACGCCGCGUGAGGGAUGACGGCCUUCGGGUUGUAAACCUCUUUCAGCGCCGACGAAGGGUAACUGACGGUAGGCGCAGAAGAAGCACCGGCCAACUACGUGCCAGCAGCCGCGGUAAUACGUAGGGUGCGAGCGUUGUCCGGAAUUACUGGGCGUAAAGAGCUCGUAGGUGGUUUGUCGCGUUGUUCGUGAAAACUCACAGCUUAACUGUGGGCGUGCGGGCGAUACGGGCAGACUGGAGUACUGCAGGGGAGACUGGAAUUCCUGGUGUAGCGGUGGAAUGCGCAGAUAUCAGGAGGAACACCGGUGGCGAAGGCGGGUCUCUGGGCAGUAACUGACGCUGAGGAGCGAAAGCGUGGGGAGCGAACAGGAUUAGAUACCCUGGUAGUCCACGCCGUAAACGGUGGGUACUAGGUGUGGGUUUCCUUCCUUGGGAUCCGUGCCGUAGCU
rnacentral:rRNA from 1 species